UAAAAGUAAAAGCUCUGUUUGGGCACAGACCUGGAUAGCAUGACAGAACUCUGCAGUAGAUUGCAACUCCAUCCUCUUUGGCAGUUCUGUCUUGGGGGGAAAAUGUAUACACAUACAUAAAGGCAUUUUUCAGUUAUGAUUUUAGCACUCAGAAUCCAGAAUGGAUAUGACAAUGGGGCCAGCACAGGAUGUAAUACACGCUUACAACAAUCUACUAGAACCCCUGUGGGCCAAGUCAAGAGCUACCCUUCCUCUUUCAGUCAGCUCUGCGCAUGUCUGAAAGUGACAGACCCAGAGUUUUUCACAGUAUGUCAUAUAAAAUUAUUACACUUAUGAAUGUAAAAUGCUAAUAUGUAUUAGAUCCAGUGGAAUGGAAUAACCAAGACCUGAAUUUGAAUGCACCGUGUUCCGAUUCCUCCUAUUCUUUCUGUCCAGCAGGGUCAAGCAAAAACACUUGGCCUGAUGGUUCAUGCAAAUACUGGGGAAGAAAUAUAGAAAUGCAUUGAUCCCUUAAAUUAUUUUACUAUUAAAUGACCUAUAUCACAACCCUCAUACCUCUUCACAAAAAUGUACCUAAAUCAAUUUUGGAAAAAAGAUUUUACACACAAAAGACGUAGGAAUUUAUUUUCCCAGUUAGAAAUAGUAGGCCAUGCAUCAAAUAAUUAUUUUCAUCAGAAAAAAACAACUCUCAAAUGCUCUAUUGCAUUUUGUAAUUUGUCUGCAGGUGGCUUGUUGUGAAUGCACUCAAAUAUCAAGUCAUUAUCAGGUUAUGGAAACUGUGUUCUAAUACUCAACAUAGAAGGAUGUGUCUUAAUGUCCAGUAUAUGAAAAUUAUUCUUACACCUUAUCAAGCUCACUCUGACUGACAAAUCACUGCCUUUCACUCUGAUUAAAAAGAGCAUAUGAAACAUUGUUUUUCACGAGGCCUACCUGUGCACCUUCCUUUAAGCACCUCUGUUUGAACACCUCUCCUGUCCUUGAUCCAUUCCACAUACAGCCAUUUGCGGAUCUUUUCAGUGUCCAUGUAAAAUGUAGUUAUUGCGCGGCUGGAAUAUUUGUUAACUUCAAAAAAACAUUUUUUAACACCCAUGUGAAACGAAGGCCUGCAAAGCUUACAGAUUUAAGUCUAAUAGCAUGAUUUGAAAGUAGACAAACAUCAGAGUGAGCGAUAUGAAGGUAUAGUCAGUGGACAUUCUGAACCUGGUUUGAGGUCAGUAGUCACAUGACCAAGGAGCAUUUUAAAUUUUGAUAAAUUCAUGUAAAAUCUUGUGAGAUGAAAAUGGACAAACUAAAGGGUGUGCAAUGUGUAGGCCUACUGAGUGGACAUUCUGAACCUUGUUUGAAGUCACAUGACCAAGAAGCUAUUGAAAUUUUACAUUUUGAUGAAUUCAUGUAAAAAUCAUGUGAGAUGAAAAUGGAAAAACUAAAGUGUGUGCAAUAUAGAAGGGUAGUCAGUGAACAUUCUGGACCUUGUUUGAGUCAAGUAGGUCACAUGACCAAUGAGCUAUUGAAAUGUAAAAAAGUUUGUUUACACUCCCUAACUAAUUCAACUAGGAAUAAAAAAAUGCUGCUCACAUUUCCACAUAUUUAUUAGCUUUGGAAAGCGAAUUAAUGUCCAAAACGUGAAAAUAAGCGCAAUUUUUCCAACAUAAUGACACUUAUUUGGAGUCUGUGGCUCAAGUGGUUUGAAAGCGCGAAUAUCUGUCAAAUAUCCAACUUGAAACUGUCUUUACCUCAGUGACCAAUACAAGUCUUUGUGGCGCUUGCUCAAAGCGUUGAACCUAAAGAAACCACCAAAACAUCCAUUUGUGUGCUCCUACCACUUCUUUGACAAGAAGCCUACAGUGAAGCGUCCUUACCCAGAAAAAUGGCUUGGCUACAAUGCUCCACUCGUGAAGAAGCGUCGGGCGUUGGUCAGGUAGUCGGCAGUGACAGGUGACACAACAGACUCAAGUGUUUACCAAAUUGAAAAUGGGGAUUGGCCAGCACAGAAGGAACGGAUAUGCCUUCAGAGAAGGAUGCCCAAACCCAAUGGGAAGACCCAUCUCUAAGUGAUCACAACUACAGCUCAGGUGAUCAUGUAAAGCCCACUACCUGUGAGGCAGGGACACAGUGCCCAGCAGCACCUCUCUACAAAACCCUGCUGAGAAACUAAGCACUCUGUUGAUUGCAUACAGGCUUGUUUCUUGCUGCCUUUUCUACCCUGGCAGAACAUCUUCUAUCCCUCCUACAAAGGAAGCUUUCAGUUAGACCUGACAGACUAACUCCUGAUGACAUUGAUGAAGCUGAAGCUCAACUUGCUGCAGCAGUACCUAGCAGAAAGGUUUGGUGUUUCCCAGAGUAUUGUCAGUCAAGUGAUUAGUUAUUGGAUUGACAUGAUGGAAGAGAAUCGGAAGUAGUACAUUCCAUGGUUGCCAAGGGAGACCCCAUCCAUGCUACAAUGUGACAAUGUUUUAAGGACCACUGCCCAGGAACAACCUGCAUUAUUGACUGCUCAGAAACUGCUUUACAGAAGUGCAAGAGUCUGGAUUCAAGGGGGGAGUCAUUCAGCCAUGACUAUGCCCAGAACACUAUCAAGUACCUGAUGGUCAUUGCACAUUGUGGUCUAGUGAUGUUCAUCUCCUCAGCAUAUGGAGGUAGAUGUAGUGACAAAUAUAUAACAUAGGAUUCUGGGUUUCUGGAGUACUUCUGUCCAGGUGAUGAGGUCAUGGCUGACCGGAGCUUCACAAUCUGAUCUGCUACAAUAGAGGAAGGUCGAAUUUACAAUUCCAGCCUUCACAAAAAGAGGCACACAGCUGUCAGAGGACACCAACUUGUACAAGACGAAUAGCUAACGUGAGGGUUCAUGUGGAACGCGUAAUUCAAAGGCUCAAGUCGUUUAGAAUCAUCUCACAAACAGUGCCAAUCAACCUCUCAUCUGACAAAAUACUUUGAAUCUGUGCUGACCUGUGUAACCUGCGCUGACCUGUGUGGUGAUAUCAUUCAUGAAGAUGCUGAAUGAACUGAUCAGUCAAAUGCCAUUCACAGGGUUGAUUUCCCAAUAUGAAUUAAAGUUGUCAAUAGUUACAUUAAAUACAUUUCAAUUCAUUCUAUAACAACUUUACUUAGUUAUUUGUUUUAUAUACUCAUUAAUAUUAAUAAAAAACAAACCCAUAAAAAC